CAGUAACCUCUGCCCUAUGAUUCGUUUAAAUGGCCGCAGUACUUUGACUGUGCAAAGGUAGCAUAAUCACUUGUCCCUUAAUUAGGGGCUAGAAUGAAAGAGGCGACGAAAUCUAGGCUAUUUAGAUUUUUAAAUAAAUUGACAAGUAGGUUAAAAGGCCUAUAUGAGCCAAGGGGACGAUAAGACCCUAUAAAACUUUACUUUUUAUGUGGUAUUUAACAGCAUAAUUUUAUGUCAAGAGUUUUACUGGGGCGGUAGUUAUAAAAACAAUUAUAUGUGAGAUAUACUAAAUAGCGCGAUAGAACUCUUUAAGAAAUAGAACAAGUUACUUUAGGGAUAACAGCGUAAUUCCCCCAGAGAGUCCUAAUUGGCGGGGGAGCUUACGACCUCGAUGUUGAAUUGGGGCACCUUGUGUAAGCAAAAAUACACAUAGACAGUCUGUUCGACUAUUUAACCCCC
rnacentral:rRNA from 1 species